AUUGAACGCUGGCGGCAGGCCUAACACAUGCAAGUCGAGCGGAUGAAGGGAGCUUGCUCCUGGAUUCAGCGGCGGACGGGUGAGUAAUGCCUAGGAAUCUGCCUGGUAGUGGGGGAUAACGUCCGGAAACGGGCGCUAAUACCGCAUACGUCCUGAGGGAGAAAGUGGGGGAUCUUCGGACCUCACGCUAUCAGAUGAGCCUAGGUCGGAUUAGCUAGUUGGUGGGGUAAAGGCCUACCAAGGCGACGAUCCGUAACUGGUCUGAGAGGAUGAUCAGUCACACUGGAACUGAGACACGGUCCAGACUCCUACGGGAGGCAGCAGUGGGGAAUAUUGGACAAUGGGCGAAAGCCUGAUCCAGCCAUGCCGCGUGUGUGAAGAAGGUCUUCGGAUUGUAAAGCACUUUAAGUUGGGAGGAAGGGCAGUAAGUUAAUACCUUGCUGUUUUUACGUUACCAACAGAAUAAGCACCGGCUAACUUCGU
rnacentral:rRNA from 1 species